AUGUCUGUUUCUACAACUAUUGUUACGUGCUUGCUGCUGUUAUGCAUGUCUUGCUGUUCUUCUAGUUUGCUAGAUUAUUGCAUGCUAGUAUCUCUUCUAGUCAUGAAUUAUUUACUGGAAUUAAUCAUGAACUUGCCUAAUAUUCCAACAAUCCAAAAACCUAAUUAUAGGCAAUUUCCUGAGUUAACUAUGGCUGGAUUCGCUGAUGCACUGAGGCCGGAUAAGUUUACCGGUGUGCACUUUAAGAGGUGGCAGGUGAAGACCACGCUCUGGCUUACUGCUCUGAAAGUUUUCCACGCUAGUGUUGGUGCUCCAGAGGGAAUGAUCGACGAAGAUCGGAGAAAAUUCCAGGAAGCCAAUACUAUGUUUGUGGGAUGCAUUCUGAGUGUUCUUGCUGACCGUUUGUGUGAUGUGUACAUGCACAUAAACGACGGAAAAAUUCUGUGGGAUGCACUGAAUGCAAAACUCGGUGCAACAGAUGCAGGCAGUGAACUGUACAUCAUGGAGAGUUUUUAUGACUACAAGAUGGUGAAUAACCGUUCUGUGGUUGAACAAGCUCAUGAGAUACAGUGCAUUGUGAAGGAACUUGAACUCCUUAAAUGUGUUCUACCCGACAAAUUCGUGGCUGGGUGCAUGAUUGCAAAGUUGCCUCCUUCAUGGAGGAAUUUCGCCACAACUCUGAAGCAUAAGAGACAGGAGAUAUCAGUUGAAAAAUUUGAUUGCAUCUCUUGA
rnacentral:rRNA from 1 species